rnacentral:tRNA from 1 species
GAGUGACGGGUGCCUGGUGGCCCCCACGGUCUUCAAAACCGUUGUCGACCCGUUCUGCGGGCGAGGUGGGUUCGAUUCCUACCCUCUC